GACGAACGCUGGCGGCGUGCUUAACACAUGCAAGUCGAACGGAAAGGCCCCUUUGGGGGUCCUCGAGUGGCGAACGGGUGAGUAACACGUGAGUAACCUGCCCUUGACUUCGGGAUAACUUCAGGAAACUGGGGCUAAUACCGGAUAGGAAUCCUUGCUGCAUGGUGGGGGUUGGAAAGCUUCUGCGGUUUUGGAUGGACUCGCGGCUUAUCAGCUUGUUGGUGGGGUAGUGGCUUACCAAGGCUUUGACGGGUAGCCGGCCUGAGAGGGCGACCGGCCACAUUGGGACUGAGAUACGGCCCAGACGCCUACGGGAGGCAGCAGUGGGGAAUAUUGCACAAUGGGCGGAAGCCUGAUGCAGCAACGCCGCGGGCGGGAUGACGGCCUUCGGGUUGUAAACCGCUUUCAGCAGGGGCGAAGCUUGUGGUGACGGUACCUGCAGAAGAAGCACCGGCUAACUACGUG
rnacentral:rRNA from 1 species